CAAAGCAAAAGCAAGCACAAGCACAAGCACAGUAUCUAAGCAACCAGACAUAGGUGGCAACCCUAGAUACAAGACAACACACACUUCUAGGGAAUCGACAGUGUGAGCAUUUCAAAAAUUGACCGUGUCCUCCAUCGUAACAGGAUGCGAAUGAAACAAGUAUACAGAGUACCUUCUGAGCGCAACUCACCAAGGGAGAAAGAACUGCGAGCUCAGUAUGUGCAAACAAUAUUUGACUUGGAAUCCUUGGACAGACCCCAUGAGUUAAUCUUUGUCGAUGAAGCUGGCUUCUAUCUAACAAAGAGGAGAAGGAGAGGCCGAAACAUGAUUGGACAGCGGGCCAUUGUUGAAGUCCCUGGUCAACGAGGUGGCAAUGUCACAAUCUGUGCUGCUAUUAGCAACCAUGGUGUUCUACAUCACCAUGUUACACUCGGGCCAUAUAACACCCAGCACCUUCUAAGAUUUAUGGCCAAU